AACAAACCAAUUUUUCACUUUUUAUCUAUGAUGUUUGACUCUUCGUCUUGUUAAAAAAAUUACAAUUAAUAAUUUUAUUUUUAUUAGAUGAUAAAUCAUGUAUAGAACUUUACGUGCGACUAAUUUUUUUUCAAGUUUUUAAAAAAUUUCAAAUAAAUCGGAUAGUUAAACGUUGGACACGGAAACCGAUUGAUUGAUUUAUU
rnacentral:pre_miRNA from 1 species